UCAGGAAUUUUGGGCAAUGGGCGAAAGCCUGACCCAGCAACGCCGCGUGAGGGAUGAAGUAUUUCGGUAUGUAAACCUCGAAAGAAUGGGAAGAAUAAAUGACGGUACCAUUUAUAAGCUCCGGCUAACUACGUGCCAGCAGCCGCGGUAAUACGUAGGGAGCAAGCGUUGUUCGGAUUUACUGGGCGUAAAGGGCGCGUAGGCGGCGCGGUAAGUCACUUGUGAAAUCUCUGAGCUUAACUCAGAACGGCCAAGUGAUACUGCUGUGCUAGAGUGCGGAAGAGGCAACCGGAAUUCUUGGUGUAGCGGUGAAAUGCGUAGAUAUCAAGAGGAACACCUGAGGCGAAGGCGGGUUGCUGGGCCGACACUGACGCUGAUGCGCGAAAGCCAGGGGAGCAAACG
rnacentral:rRNA from 1 species